rnacentral:rRNA from 1 species
UACGUAGGGGGCUAGCGUUGUCCGGAAUCAUUGGGCGUAAAGCGCGCGUAGGCGGCCCGGUAAGUCCGCUGUGAAAGUCAAAGGCUCAACCUUUGAAUGUCAGCGGAUACUGCCGGGCUAGAGUCCGGAAGAGGCGAGUGGAACUCCUGGUGUAGCGGUGGAAUGCGCAGAUAUCAGGAAGAACACCAACGGCGAAGGCAGCUCGCUGGGACGGAACUGACGCUAAGGCGCGAAAAGCGUGGGGAGCGAACAGG